rnacentral:lncRNA from 1 species
CCGGUACAAUCUAAGAAGAUGACUGAGGGUGAACUCGACCUUGGCUUUAUCUGCAAAAUACCUUACCAUCAACACUAUCCUCCAAAAUGGUGGGUGAACCUGUGCCAGGGUAACCCGACAUCUCCUACAAAAUUCGAGCAUGAAUCUGUCGAGGGGGCCCAACGUAAAGCGGUACAUAUAUAUGUUCAAAAAACUCUCGACAUGAGCUAUGUUACUCUCUUCCGGGGAAGGUACCUACAGUACCUCUUUUUCUCCUCAUCCGUAGUCUUUUCUAACUGUCUCGAGGUGCUCCUCCCCUAUGAAAGAAAUAAACCUCAAUGCAUGCUCCCGAUGGCCCUGAACAUUGGGAGGUCUCUCCAACGCAAAGUCCCUCCUCAUGACAAAGCACCUCAACGUUAGCUCACCAGGUACAGGUGGUGUACCACCGACCGAGCGCGAAGCAGAGGCAGAACUCUCCUCUCCUUGGUGAAUGGGUGUGGACGUAGCAGCCAUGGCUAUGAUAAAAUAAGAAAAAGGAAGGUAAAGGCUUGGACGAAAGCUCUUAAAAUGGUAAGAGAACUGGCACAAAAAGAGCUCUAUAAGAGGGAUAGUUACUCAAAGUAGCGGAGUCUUCAAACAAGAAUUAAGCAAAUGAAUAUAUAGAGCAAGCAAGAAUUGUUAAACUAUCCUGAAGGCUAAUUGAUUCUGACCAUGUCAGUGCCAUUUUGGGGAAGUGCACCGAUGGGACCACCCUGGUCACUUCACAAUCGUGUCGCAUAAAUAAUAUUAUCACACAAUGCUCGGGAGCCGUCGAGACCCCAAGAAUUUAUGUUAUUAUAAUCAUUUAUUCUGAAAAGUUAUCGACCUAAUCUCGAGAUGGUGCCUGAUCUCGAGGGUUUCGAUUAUUCUAAGUACGGGCUCUGAAGAGCCAACAUCAAAUUUCAAAGACCAACUCCUCAUGAAUGCUGAAAUAUAAAUAAUUUAAAGUCGAGCCCUAAAGAGGGAUUGUCCCCGAGCCCUCUUCGAGAGUCUCCUCUAUGCGGGUCUGUUCCAUAUCGACCACCCCUGAUUCGGCAGCAUUCCGCCCGGUAACUUGUGGAGCAUAUUCGCCUCGUCUCAUCCUUUGUACCAAAGGGCCUCCAUAAUCAUCAUCACCUUUAUCCUUGGCACGGGGACUUGCCACAACAGCCAAAGCCGAGACCGUGGCGUCGGUCUUAAUUGAAGACUCGGCUGAAGUUUCUUUCUCCCUUUUUUUACCCAUACCGGGAUUAGAGGUUCCCUCUUUACCAGUAGGAGCCGAACUCAUCGACACUCCAUAUCUGAGGCCUGCACAAGCAUAAUGCAUCUAAGUACAAAGGAUACUCAUAAGGGAGCCUAGUAAAGAUAGCAAUAAAGAGCAUACCGUGGUUCUUGGCCUGCCACUGUAUUUUGGCCAAGUCGUGCCAAGAACGAUCAAAAUAAGGUAAAGCAGAAUCCAAUUAAAUGAUCCAUCCCAAUAGAUUCUGAACCACAUCAGGGUACCAAAUGGUGGUUUUAUAAUCAAAAGAAGACCAUUUUUUCAGAAGAGGAUGAAAAGGCAAUAAAAUAUGUUCGGGGUAAGGGCACUUGCGGUUCGUAUUCCACUCCUCCAGGAAUGGCAUCCUAUUAGCCGGGAUAGUGUUCGAGGUCCACACUCAGACAAAUCGACUCAUCCACCCCCGAUCCUUGUCCUCAUCAAUGCUCGAAAAGAACGGCCUCGUGGACUGUAGAUGAAGCUUGAUCAAACCCCGAUAUAAUCGAGGGUUGUAUAAUCUGAUCAAGUGAUUGAGGGUGAAGUUCAUACCCCCAACCUUGUUGGAAAAGUACCAGAGCAUAUGAACUAUCCUCCAGAAAGAAGGAUAGAUCUGACCAAGCGUCACUCGAUACUCAUGGCAAAAAUCGAGAAUCACCAGAUCUAUCAACGGGGAAGAAGGAUCUGAAGAAUCUGUGGGGGCUAAAGUGAAUGGGUAUGUAUACACGCUGAGAAAGUCAGAUUUAUGUUCUACUAUGUUCUCCCCGAAAUUGGGGAUUUCUACUAAUGCUGCCCUCCUCCAUUUUCAGUCUUCCUUCACUCUGCUCGUAUCGGUCACCAUGCUGAUGUAUUGAGACACAGGCUCACAUCGUCUGGUGUGGCAGGGGGAUUUUCGAUGGAAAAAUUGUAUACGAUGUCGAAUUUUGUAGGAGUACAUUGCUCGACAGUUAGGGGUACUUUUGGUUUACCCCUGGAUGAGUGAGACGAAGAAGUAGUGCCCUCCUUUUGAGGUAUCGUUCUAUAGGCCCUAGCCAUAGCUAUAAAAAGGGUUUAUAGGAAGGAAAGUGAAGAAGCAAUGGCAGAAGGGAGAAGAAUGUAUAAUACGAAGGACUAAACUCUAGAAAAUUGAAGAUGUUGUAAAAGUGUGAAUAACAAAAUGGUUGAGGUAUUUAUAGAAGCCGGACCAAUAGCGUUUCGUCAGAUUCUCAAUAGUCGUAUUGAUAGCGACCCCUACGCAGCCUUUGAGUCAUGUCAUUUAAUGUUCUCAUAGGCUGACGUCAUGAUGGUAGUAUCGAAGAAGCAAGAAUUCAAGACCGUUUCUUAUCAUUUUCAUUCUAAGAAAUGCGGGGACUAUAUGUAUGCGGUAAAAAUAUGGUCUGAUUUUAUAUUCAUUAUGACGCUUUGUAGGCACAUCUCUAAGGGCUCGAUGCCAGGUUCGAGGUUCAACACCAAAGGGUUCUCAACUUUCGGCCUCAAAGUAGUGCGAACCGGUAGUUAUGAUGGAAAAAUGAGAGAUUCCCAAGGCACGUGACUAAAGCUGACCAAGUCUAUUAGGCUAGUUCAAGCCCGUACCGAGGCAUUAAAUGGUUGUACCAGCCAUAUAUCUUUGUAAUAAAUAUAUUUGUACUAUGUUGGGAUUCCCCCUAGUAUAUAAAGGGGACCCUAGUUAUUUUGUAAAAUAUAUAAUAUCACUUGCAACAUUCAAUACAAGAACAUUCCAUGCUCUCUAACACAUUCUCUCUUGAUUCUAUGAUUUACAUUUAUUGCUUGCAUUUAUUGUGUUCUAUUUAUUGUUCUUCAUUUAUUGCUCGUUAUUGAACAUAAAGAGCCUUCAUCAAAGCUCUCAAUGUUGUUAGCCCUUCAUUGGUUGUCCACAACUCAGUAUCGAGCUCGACCUCGGGGCCCCGUAUAAUCAGGUUCGAGGCCCCGAUUCUCAGCCGCUCGGUUUGCUUAAACACACUAUUUUCAAGUUCAUACCUUAUCUCCUAGUCUCAUAAUUAGCACCUAUUGCCUAAAACUAGCAUAAAAAUAGAUCACAUAUUUUUAGAACCACAAAAUCCAAUCUAAUUGUAAUUACCAUUUUCAAGGUAAACAUUUAUAUAUGCCCUGUGAGUCUCUUGUUUCAUUUGUUCGUGUAUCUACUCUGGUGGGCGAUACUAUUGUUGUGGACCGCAUAUAUCGGUCGUGUGUGGUGACUAUUGGAGGUUUGGAGACCCGAGUGGACCUUCUAUUGCUUUGUAUGGUUGACUUUGAUAUGAUAUUAGGUAUGGAUUGGCUAUCUCCGUGUCAUGCUAUUUUCGAUUGUCAUGCAAAGAUAGUGACGUUGGCUAUGCCGGAUGUGCCACAGAUUGAGUGGCGAGGUUCGACUGAUUUUGUUCCCAAGGGUGAUUUCAUUUAUGAAGGCCCAUCAGAUGGUUGGGAAAUGUUGUCUUUCAUACUUAGCGUUUGUGAGGGAUGUUAGUGCAGAGACUCCUACCAUUGAUUCGGUCCCGGUAGUGAGGGACUUUCUGGAUGUGUUUCCUGCAAACCUGUUGGGCAUGCCACCAAAUAGGGAUAUUUAUUUUGGUAUUGGUAUGGUGCAGGGCACUUAGCCCAUUUCUAUUCCACUAUGUCGUAUGGCACCAGCGGAGUUGAAGGAGCAGCUUCAGGAACUCCUUGAUAAGGAGUUUAUUCAGCAUAGUGUAUCGCCUUGGGGUGCGCCUAUUCUAUUUGUGAAGAAGAAGGAUGGCACUAUGAGGAUGUGCAAUGAUUACAGGUAGUUGAACAAAGUUACAAUUAAGAACAAGUACCCUUUGCAUAGUAUUGAUGAUUUAUUUGACUAGCUUCAGGGAGCGAGGGUGUUCUCCAAGAUUGAUCUCCAUUCAGGGAAUCACCAGUUAAAGAUCAGGGACUCGGAUAUCCUUACGACAACUUUCAGGACCCGAUAUGGUCAUUAUGAGUUCCUUGCCAUGUUUUUUGGGUUGACCAAUGCCCCAUUAGCAUUCAUGCAUUUGAUGAAUAGUGUGUUUCGGCCUUAUCUCGGCUCGUUUGUGAUUGUUUUUAUUGAUGAUAUUCUAGUGUACUCGUGUAGCUAGGAGGAGCACACUGAGCAUUUGAGAGUUGUGUUGCAGCGGUUGAGGGAGGAGAAGCUUUAUGUAAAGUUCUCCAAAUGUGAGUUUUGGCUAAGUUCAAUGGCUUUCUUAGGGUACGUGGUGUUCAGUGAGGGUAUUAAGGUUGAUCCGAAAAAGAUAGAGGCGGUUCAGAGUUGGCCCAGACCGUCCUCAGCAGCAGAGAUUCACAGCUUUCUUGGAUUGGUGGGUUAUUACCGUCGGUUCGUUAGCAUCUCCCUUGACCAAAUUGACUCAAAAGGGUGCUCCAUUCAGGUGGUCGGAUGAGUGUGAGGCGAGCUUUCAGAAGCUCAAGACUAUUUUGACCACAACUCCAGUGUUAGUUUUGCCAUUAGCUUCAGGUUAAUAUAAAGUGUAUUGUGAUGCUUCGAGAGUUAGUAUUGGGUGUGUGUUGAUGUAGGAGGGUAGAGUGAUUGCUUAUGCUUCUCGUCAUUUGAAGAUCGAUUAGAAGAACUACCAUGUUCAUAAUCUAGAGUUGGCUACCAUUGUUCACGUGUUGAAGAUUUGGAAGCAUUAUUUAUAUAGUGUGUCUUGUGAGGUGUUUACUGAUCAUCGUAGCCUCCAGCACUUGUUUAAUUUUAAGGAUCUCAAUUUUAGGUAGCGGAGAUGGUUGGAGUUGCUAAAGGACAAUGAUAUCACUAUCUUGUACCAUCCGGGAAAGACCAAUGUAGUGGUUGAUGCCUUGAGUAGGAAGGCAGUGAGUAUGGGCAUUUUGGCGUAUAUUCCUAUUAGGGAGAGACCUCUUGCAGUUGAUGUUCAAGCCUUGGCCAAUCAGUUUGUGAGGUUGGAUAUUUUGGAGCCCGGUCGGGUCUUAGCUCGUGUGGUUUCUCGGUCUUCCUUAUUUUAUCGCAUUAGAGAGCGCUAGUAUGAUGAUCCUCAUUUGCUUGUCCUUAAGGACAGAGUUCAGCACAACGAUGCCAGAGAUGUGACUAUUGGUGAUAAUGGGGUAUUGAGGAUGCAGGGCCGGAUAUGUGUACUAAUGUAGACGGGCUUUGGGAGUUGAUUCUGGAGGAGGCCCAACUCGCAGUAUUUCAUUCAUCUGGGUGUCACGAAGAUGUAUUAGGAUCUGAGACAACAUUAUUGGUGAAGGAGAAUGAAGAAAGAUAUUGAGGGAUUCGUAGCUCGGUGUCUCAAUUGUCGGUAGGUGAAAUAUGAGCAUCAGAGACCGGGUGGCUUGCUUCAUUAGAUGGAUAUUCCAGAGUGGAAGUGGGAGCGGAUCACCAUGGAUUUUAUAGUUGGACUCCUAUGGACUUUGAAGAAGUUCGAUGAUAUUUGGGUGAUUGUGUACCGGCUAACAAAGUUCGCGCACUUCAUUCCUGUGUGUACUACCUAUUCUUUAGAGUGGUUGGCAGAGAUCUAUAUUCGAGAGAUUGUUCCCUUACACGGUGUCCCAGUUUCCAUCAUUUCAGAUAGAGGUGCUCAGUUUACUUUGUAAUUUUGGAGGGUCGUGCAGAGAGAGUUAGGUACUCAGGUUGAGUUGAGCACAACUUUUCACCCUCAGAUGGACGGGCAGUCCGAGCGCACUAUUCAGAUAUUGGAUGACAUGUUGCGCAUUUGUAUCAUUGAUUUUGGUAGUUUAUGGGAUCAUUUUCUACCGCUCCUGGAUUUUGCUUAUAAUAACAAUUAUCAGUCGAGUAUUCAGAUGGCUCUAUAUGAGGCUUUAUAUGGGAGACGGUGUAGAUCUCUAGUUGGUUGGUUUGAGUCGGGUAAGGCUAGGCUUUUGGGUACAGACUUGGUGCAGGAUGCUUUGGACAGGGUGAAGGUGAUUUAGGAGCAGUUUCAUACAGCGCAGUCAAGACAAAAGAGUUAUGCUGACAAGAAGGUCCAUGAUGUGUCUUACAUGGUUAGGGAGAAGGUUCUACUGAAGGUUUCACCCAUGAAGAGUGUUAUGAGAUUUGGGAAGAAGAGUAAAUUGAGUCCUCGGUUCAUUGGUCCUUUCAAGGUGCUUCAGAGGAUUGGGGAGGUGGCUUAUGAGCUGACUUUGCCACCUAGCUUGUCGAGUGUGCAUCCAGUAGUUCAUGUUUCUAUGCUCCGGAAGUAUAUUGCCGAUCCGUCUCAUGUUUUGGAUUUCAGUCGGUUCAAUUAGAUGGUGAUUUGACUUAUUGUCACACAUCCUUUUUACCACCCGAAGGGGGAUAUAAUGGAGUUUUUCCAAUUAAAGUGACAUUAAUCGAAAUGAGAUUAUUUUAUUUAUUUUUUAGAGUCACCACUUGGAAUAGUUUAUUUGGUGUCCCAAGUCACCAGUUUAUUUUAAAAUCCCAAAUCGAUGAAAUUUCGACUUUAUUUUUGGUCCGCGAACAUAGAAUAUCGGGUAAGGAAUUUUGUUAACCCGGGAGAAGGUGUUAGGCACUCCCGAGUUCUGUGAUUUUAACACGGUCGCUAAACUAUUAAUAAUUGGCAUAAUUACCUGAUUUAUUACAUAUUUUAAACCUAUUGUGCAUUUUCAACUUUAUAACCACUUUUAUUUAUUAAUGGAAUUAUUUCUAGAACAAGUCACGAUGUCGUACACUCGUUGUUUUUGGUACACAUUGUAAACUGCGUCACAUGAAAUGCACUCGCGAUUUACAACAUGUUCAUUUUUAUUAUUGUUCGAAGUUGUGGUCGGAUUGCAUGAAAUGCACACACGAUUGGGAUUUACGUACCAUGACCAUUCUACGGAAUCGUACCCACUGUCACGAUAAUUUAUUAAUCAUACAAACUACGAUAUUUAAUAUUGAAGAUUGUUGUAAGGCUAUGCUUUAUGCAUAAAAUUUUAUUGGGGAGUAAAUAGGAUGAUUAACAGGAUCUAUUUUGUCCCAAAUCAAUCAGAGCCUCAACUUAGACUAAUUAAGUUUAGACACCAAGCGUACGGUCCAAGUGAGCCUUCUUUAUCAUACUAUCAUUUUCCUAUUCCAAAACUAUACAUAUCUCAGAGAAUUAUUGAGGCCAAAUGAAUAUGAUACAAUAAAAGGUCCAAAACAGCAAAUAUCUACAAGAAAAGCUAAGGAAGGAAAUUGGCACCACAAAUAAUUAAAGAAAACAUCUAAGACAUAUUUGAUAUGAAAAUAAUUGACAAUGAAAUGGACCUCUCAUGGCUUUAUGUGUAACAGAACAAACAACACACAUUUGGAGGCAUUUAAUGAGCUAAAAACAUUUGAUAUUAUUUAACAAGCCAACAAAGAGCAUGGAGUGACGAGAAAACGGACCUCUGUGAACUUAGAAAUUCUUUAAAAAAAUGAAGCUUGAUAACUGAAAUUCAGACAAAAAACUUGCCGGAGACCUCGAUGACCUCGACAAACUGAGCUCAACUUAAGAGAACAACAACAACUAAAGAAGCUGAAGCUGCUAUGUUUUAUAAUAAAAGAGAGCUGGCCGGAGAUGGUGAAACUCCAGCGUAACGCCGGCAAGGCAGUGAACUAGUGGAAAUGCAUUUACAUGGCUUUAGAACUGAUUUUAGGAGUGGGAUGGAGAAGCCACAACUGCUGCAUUUUUUUUAGAUCUGCUGCUGUGUUUUCUGCUAUGUUUGGAGAGCUUCCGGAGGUGAUUUUACUGGGUUUUAGAGCUAUUUCGUGGUUGAUUUUCAUAGCCUUUGGGGUUGAAAUUUGGGCGGUAAUGGGGUGUUUAUGGCUGAUCUUUGAAUGAAGAAGGAGGCUCUGUAUUUUUUUGUAUUCCCCCGUCUCUUUUCUCUAUCCGCUUUCCCGUUUUUCCCUCUGUUUUUGUGUCUCCUUUUUUCAUUUUUCCCUUUUUUUCUUUUUUGUGUGUUUAUGUUUUAUAUAUAUUUGUGAGUGUGUGUAUUUAUGUAUAUGGAUAAGAAUUAUUCUUGUGAGGAUCAUGCCAAAAGUGAGCUGUGACAGGGCCCAAGAAUCCUAUGUACACGUGUGUGAAUUGAUGGUGAGGCACGUGAGAGUGUAUGCUGGUGGUGAGUGUCAAUAUAAUACUCCCUCCAUUUCAAUUUAUGUGAACCUAUUUGUUUUUUGGUCCGUGUCAAAAAGAAUGACCAUUUUCCUUAUUUGGAAACAAUUUACUUUUAUGCAAUGAUUUAUAGCCACAAAAAAUAUAUGUGUCUCAUUUCACACCACAAAUUCAAAAGUCUUCUCUCUUUUCUUAAAUUCCGUGUCCAGUCAAAUGGGUUCACAUAAAUUGAAAUGGAGGGAGUAUGUGUGAAGGAAUAAUCAAAAAAGAAGUGGGGCCUCUUGAAAUUCCCUGAAAAGUGCCUAGAGUAUGAGUGAAAUAUGUGAAAAUAAUAGAAAAACCUAGUGAAAUUAAAGUGCACGGUGUGUGCAAUUUGUGAGACAGUGACGUGAGGGAAGAUAUGGAUAACAUGAUUUUGUUAUUUUGGAUAACAAAGAAUCUUUUCAUGUGCCCAUUCCCUUUAUUUUUCUUGUUGAUUUCUUUUAGAAGGUAACAAAUUAAAUACUAUAAUUAAAUUAAAGUUGCAAGAUAAAGAUAGAUAAAGAUAUUAAUUACCUAAUAUUUAUUGUCUAGAGAAUAUAUAUAUAAUUUUUCUAUCUUUUGUAACAACAAACUAAAACUAACAUCUAAAAGCAUCAAUAUUUUUUGUUGAUUUUUAAUUUUUAUAAAUAAAACCUAUAAAAGGGUGAAACAAAAGCUAAAAUAUCAAGAUUAAACUUAAAAGAUGUUGAAAUGCUAAGAAUGAUGAAAAGAAUUUAAUAUGGUCAAAAAUUAGGUGUUCACAGCUGCCCCUCUUUGCUUGGAAACAUGAAGAGUUUUCGGGCAAAGACAAAGUGAGCCAUGUGACUAAUUUUUGACCAUAUCGUUAUUCAAAAGAGGAAGAAAAAUAAAAGAGAAAAGCGCAACCGAGUCCUGGUUUUGGACAGCCUACAUAUUCCGGGUUAUUAGGGAAUCAGGUCAUGUGUAGUUCAAGGAGCUUUGGUAGAAUGAUGAGUUCGAGAGUCGAGUGAGGUUCCGCCGAGGCUCUGGUCCGUGGUCCUGUUAUUACAUCAAAAUCAAAAAUAAAAUAAAAACUAACUAAGCCUAUCAGCUACGAGUUACAAGAUUCCUAUCUAUGAGUCUUCUGAACCUUGAUCUUGAUUCUGAGUUGGCUCUUUAUGCGGAAUCUGAUAUGGAUCUUGAUGCUUGUUAGCUGCAGGUGCUAGUUCAUUCUUUUCAGCUUCUCAGAUCAGGGCGGGACAUGCAAAGCUUGUGAUUUCAAUCAUGUCUCGAGCAUUCCACAACUUUUCUCUGCUUCUGCACUUUGAGUUCAUUUCUUUUUAUUUUAUUCUGGAUUGAUACUUUUUCUUUUGGUCGUCUCGAACCCUGUGUCUCGAGGUAUAACCUGCUCAAAUACCAAAAUAAACAAACAAACAAAAAUAUUUUGCCCCAGUUUUCACCAUGAAAAUUUCGUGAGUUAUUGUAACAAAAUUCUAAACUACUUGUUUAUUGAAAGCAAUAAAAGUUGGGAUUGUGUAUCCCUGGGAGAAAGAGAUUAGGGAGUGGAGACCCUAUAUCUAAAAUGAAAUUAACUGGGGAUUGGAGGCCUUAAGUUGGAAAGAUUACCAGGUUAUACUGGUAUCAACUAAGGAGUGAGACCCUAUGUUGGGAAAAGAUUAUCAGGUUAUGCUGGCAUCAACUAGUAAGUGGGACCCUAUGCUGGAAAAGAUUACCAGGUUAUGCUGGCAUCCACUAGGGAAUAGGGAGAGGGACCCUGUGUUGGAAAAGAUUAUCGGGUUAUGCUGGCAUCAGCUAGUGUGUACCUAUGCUAAAAUGAACCAAGAAGGAUUUUUUUUUUGUUUUUUUAAAAAAAAAUAAAUUUCAUUUUUUUUUGAGAAAAUCAUUCUUUUAAACAAAUUGCCCCAAUGCUUUAUUUUCAAAGGCAUGAAUAAUGACUUUUUUUAAUCGAGACAUCCUCUGUUCUUUUUUUAUUUUCUUUAAUUUCCUAGGAGAAAAUUCAUUAGACUAGAUUUUUAUAUCAUAGGAGAAAAAUUCAUCAGACUAAGACAUAUAUCCUAGGAGAAAGUUCAUCAGACUAGGUUUUCUAAUUUAUUAUCUUAGGAGAAAGAUUCAUCAGACAAAUAUUUGAUCCUAGGAGAAAAUUCAUCAGACUAGGUUUUCUAUCUUAGGAGAAAAAUUCAUCAGACUAAGACAUCUAUCCUAGAAGAAAGUUUAUCAGACUAGGUCUUCUAUCUUAGAAGAAAAAUUCAUCAGACUAAGAUUUUGAUCCUAGGAGAAAGAUUCAUCGGACUAGGAUUUGUUUUGUUAUCUUAGGAGAAAGAUUCAUCAAACUAAGAUUUCUAUCCUAGGAGAAAGUUCAUUAGACUAGGUCUUCUAUCUUAGGAGAAAAUUUCAUCAGACUAAUAUUUUGAUCCUAGGAGAAAGUUCAUCAUACUAGGUCUUCUAUACUAGGAGAAAGAUCAAUUGGACUAAAAUUUCGAUCCUAGGAGAAAAUUCAUCAGACUAGAUCCUUUUUUGUUAUCUUAGGAGAAAGAUUCACCAUACUAGGAUUUCUAUCAUAGGAGAAAGAUUCAUCAGACUAGGUUUUAUUAUCUUAGGAGAAAGAUUCAUUAGACUAUGAUUUCGAUCCUAGGAGAAAAUUCAUCAAACUAAGUCGUUUUAUUGGGAGGAAAAUCCAUCAGACUAGGAUGUAUUACCCUAGGAGGAAAAAUGUGAAGAUCAAUGGCAAGAUUUUAUGCACACUAUCAAGACAAUAAAGGCAAAUAUUUGAAAAAAUUCCCUUUGUCAUCUCUUCUCCUCUUUUUUUUUUCUCUUUUUCUCUUUUUUCCCUCUUUUUUCCUUCUUUUGAACCACUUUCCUUGCACUACUUUGUUCCUGUUUCAAACAAAGAAAAUUUUGUCAGUUUUAAAAGUGGUGGUCGGUUUGUGGCCUUGAGUUUUGGGCAUCUUGGCUUUUGCUCAAUCAGCUCGAGUCGGUCUCAAGAGACUUCUGCUCUGCAUUAACCCUGAUUGUUUCACACCCAGUACCAUUUGUAUUUAUGGCUCAAUCAGUUUUAUCCCAACUAGAGAUCUCUUCUUAAGUGACCUUUUCUGAUAUCUUGAAUGACUUCUUGCUUUUGAGUAAUUUGUCUGUCAGAAAGAAUCACCAAUUAUCUUUUCUUGCGCCAAGUAGGUUGACAAGAGUCUUUUGGGGAAGCCUUUGAAUGAAUCCUCAAGGUAUAUUGACAGUAACAACUGAGUGUGCUAGCCAAAUUUAAUUUAUGCAACUGAAAAGCUAGUAGCAAAUUUUGAAAUUUUUUCUUGCCUCUUUUGACAAGGACAGACUCAGAGUGAAGGACACAAUGAUGAAAAGAAACAAGUAUUAAUAAGAAAUGCCCCUAUCGGGAUGGAUAGAAGGAAACUUUUUUUUUUCAAUAACUAGCCUUAAUGAUCAUGACAUGCAUUUUGGACUUAACGACCUGAUCUAUCAAACUGAUCUAACCUUUCCUUUUACCAAUCUUAUGACCUUUGAAGUCGGGCUUGUUCGUGCCAAUCUUUUGCAUCAACUUCAUGACUCAUUUUCGUCUAGUGGCCCCGAGGGAUCUUCACUAACAAGUCUUUAUCUUUUGUUCAUCUCUUCUUACCAUCGCCUUACAAUGCCCGUGAGGGUUUUCAUUGGUAAGACUCUCUCAUUUUUUUUUUCUUUCUUGUGUGAGCAACUUGACAGUAUUCUAUGUUGCAUGACAACCGUUGCUCAUUGUGUGCUUCUCUUGGCAUUCUUGAAGGCAUAUUGGGAGGUCUUUAUUUGGAAGGAUUUUGGAUAGGGUUGGAAAGAAAGGACGUCAUGAAGGCUCAAAAAGACUCAAAACAACAGGGGGUUGUAGAUUUACAACUCUUGGAAUCGACUCUUUCAAAAGCAAAAUAAAAUAUUUGCCCCAAUUUCAGAUACUGGGGAUUUUUUGGAUUUUUCUAUUUUCUUUUUUCUUUUUCUUUUUCUUCUAAAUUCUUAUUUGGUUGGAUCGAACCGUGAAAGGCUGCCUACAUAUCCUUUUUUUAAGGAAGCUGGUCGAACGUACUUCAAAUAUCUAACCUAACUAAUUUUUCUUCUUUCUUUUUUUUCUUUUUUUCUAUCUUUUUUUUGUUACUUUUUGUUUUCAAAACAAGUUUCCCCAGCUUCUAUUUUUUAGGGAAUGGACCUUUGACAAUUCUUUUCUUCUUCUUCUUCUUCUUCUUCUUCUUCUUCUUCUUCUUCUUCUUCUUUUUCUUCUUCUUCACUUAGAACUUUCUAAAAGCUGCCCCAGUUUGUACUCUUGGGGCAUGGACCUUUAUUGUUAUUACAUUUUUUUCAUUUUUUUGACUUUUGACUCUAAACUUUAUUCCAAAAGAGGGUGGUCAAAGAAAAUAACACAGACUCAAAGGGGUGACAAAAGGUAUGAAGUGUUUGGGUAGCAGAAAAAGGGUCUCCCAACCUCGAGAACGCUAAACAUAGUAUCUUUUUGCGAUCACAGCAUUAACGAACAUGUCUGUCUUCUUGGUGUGUCUUGGUCACAAGACAGUUUCCAUCGCUUACUUUCCAACAAACUUCAAUUGAUUAAACAUCCUCNNNNNNNNNNNNNAUUUUACUCGACCUUAAUUCCAAAGUAUUUCAACUCUUUAUUCAUCCUCAAAAGUGUUUUUUUCAGUUAUCCAAUUCCAGAUUAAAUCAGUUUCUAUGAUCUGGCCAAAAUUUUCGCAUGCAUGUCAUGUCAUUAGAACUAGCGAGAAAAGAAUUAAGAACAAAAUGACACAAAAAGACAAACUGUAUUUCAUUGAGUAAAGGAUGAAAGGAUUUGAUAACAAGACAAACAACCUAAAAUUUGAGUUACAACCCUAAAACAACUCGGCGAAUGAAAAUAGUAACGAAACAUGCAGACAAGACUCACGCGAACAGAAUAGAGGGAUAGAAGGAUUUGAAUCAAUAAAAGAAAUAGAAUCUGGAUCACAACCUUGAAAUAACCCAGAUAAUAGAAAAAGUAUCAAUACAAACUACUAAGAAGUAUCAAUACAAACUACUAAGAUUCCUUCCUAGUGAGGAGAGAAUGACUUUUCAAUUGCUAAGCUUGACAUUUAGCCACAAAUUUGCUCAUCAGAAUCACCAUGGCCUUCUCCAAUUUCAGUCGACAAGUUCCCAAGAGGAUUCUCAAACUCCAUGUCACCAGGCAUCAUCCCCACAAAGUGCGCAUCAUCACGUGAAGGUAAAGGAUUCUGCGUGAUAUUCUGGGUGUCAGUGUCUUGGAUCACAAUCAGUUUUUCCUGGAUCAUCCUUUCUAUUUCUCUUUUCAAAUCCCGAUAGCUUUCAACAUUGUGCCCCUGUGCAUUGGAAUGGUAUUCACUUUUUAGAAGGGUCAAAGCUUCUUGCACGUGGGUCCACAUGAUUUGGAGAAAUAGGUGCAAUCAUGUCAUAAUGCUUUAAUUUCUCAAACAAGCUUGCAUUAGGACUCUCCUAUUGGUGUAAAAUUAUCUUUCAACCUUUGUUCCCUUCUAUACCCCUGGCUUGGAUGCCGGUAAUAGGUCACUUGAAAAUUUUGUGGAGGCUGGUGGAGAUUUUGCGGUGCUGGUGCUUGCCUUCUAGUGUGUCUUUAUGGCUGGACAACAUACUGAGGUAGAGCAAUAAAGUAUUGUGGGUUCUGAGGUGGAUAGUAGUGCUCAAGGGAAUCAUCAAAAAAUAGACGAGGUUGGUCAUACCUUCGAGAUGUUCUCCUAGGACCUCUUCUCGAACCUGAUGCCAUCAUGAUUUCUUCAUCCAUCUCAUUCGUGUCACUAAAAUUAUCAGAUUUAACCUGGACAGAUUCAGUUGCCGCUUUAAGAACUGCUUGACUUAUAAUUUUGCCUGUCUUAAGACCAUUUUCCGAGAAGGAUUUGCCCACUGCGGACAUCAUGUUUUGAAAAUAAUCUAGCUCUUAAGCCUGAAGGAAGAUAGUGAUUAGUCGUGUUCAUCCAUGGGUGGCUUAACUCUGGCCGCUUGCUCCCUCUAUUUAAGGGUAUAUUCCCUGAAGCUUUCAGUUGGUUUCUUCUUCAGGUUUGAAAGGGAAUUGUGAUCUGGGCCGAUGUUGAUAUUGUAUUGGAACUAUUUGACAAAGGCCUAUGCCAUGUCAUCCCAGACAUACCAGCGAGAUGUGUCUUGAUCCAUAAACUAUUUGGAGGUUACUCCCGUAAGGCUUUCCCCAAAAUAAGCCAUCAGUAAUUCUUCCUUUCUUCUUUCACCUCUUAGUUAAUUGCAAUACCUUUUUAGGUAAGCUAUAGGGUCUCCAUGUCCGUCAUACUUUUCAAAUUUGGGAGUCUUGAAACCAGGUGGCAAGUGGACAUCGGGGAACAUACAUAGAUCCUUAAAGGCAAUACUCUUCUGACCUACCAACCCUUGCAUAUUUUUCAACUGUUGUUCUAAGUUUUUCACUCUUUGGGUCAUUUCUUCUUGUGCCAUCUUUCGGGCAGGCUUCUCAAUAUUUGCAGGAAGAUCAAAUCGGUACAAGUGGUACUCAGGAGAGUGGUACUAUUCUUGCUGGGUAGCAAAUUGUGACUCAUGACAAGGCUGUCUUGGCCAUUGGCCCAAGCUUGACACAUUUUGGUCAUUUGUUGUUUCAAUAUUCUAUUUUCCUCAACCAUAGUAGACUUUAUUGAACCCUCUGACCCUGAGUCUCUUGAGCGCUCGCAACAGCUUCAAUGUCAGUUAUCAUUUUUCCUUGGAUCUUCUUUUGUCCGCUUACCACAAACCAACCAACUCAAACUUUCUUCACAAUUCAAAAUAAAAGACACGUUAGAAUGGACUCAGUCGGUCCUUAUUAUCGUCAUCAUUGUUUUCUCUUUUUUCAUUUUUCAUUUCUUUAUUUUUUUAAUUAAUUAUUUUUUAAUGGUUAAUCGAACCUUGAUGUGGGUUGCAUACGUAUCCUGUGGGAACAUGAAUCGGAUCUUGUGUAGUUCGGGAAGAUCAUGAAUAAAGUAAAUAAUCUAACUCUUUUUUUUGGAUUUUGAUUUUUUAAUUCCAAAAGAGAGACUUAUAAAGAAGAAAGAAAAUAUUUUUGGAUUUCAAUUUUUUUUUUGAGGAUUUAUUUUAAAAAAAAAAGACUUCUAAAGAAUAAAGAAAAUAUAUACAUCUUUUUUUUUUAAUUUUGAUAAUUUCUUUUUUGAAAUUUCGAAAGAAUAACUUCUAAACAAGAAAGGAAAUAUUUUUGGAUUUUUGGAAUUUUAUGUUAAAAUUAUAAAAGAAAGACUUCUAAAGAAAAUAGUUUUGAAUCUUGAAUUUUCUUUUUCAAUUUUCGAAGAAAAACUUCUAAAGAAAAAGAGAAUAUUUUUUUUGAUUUUUAGAAGAAAUUAAAAGAAAAUAUUUUUAGAUUUUCUUUUUUUAAAUUGGGGUCUCAAAGAAAGAUGUUUUCAAAGAAGGAAGUAAAGGAAAAUAUUUUUGGAUUUUUAAAAAUUGGGGUAUCCAAGAGAGACUUUUCUAAAGAAGGAAGUAAAGAAAAAUAUUUUGGAAUUUUUGAAAAUUGUGGCCGGAACCGAUGAGGUUUGCCUACGUAUCUCACAUCCGAUGAGAAUCAGACCCGCGUAGUUCGUCCAUUUUUGACGGAACAUGGAAACAUGACUUUUGAAAACAUGGGUUUUUUUUCUCUUUUUUUUUUGAAUUUCAGGAGAGUUUUAGAGAUUUCAAAUACCUACCUCUCACUCUUGAUUUUCUUUUUUUCUUUUUCUUUGAUUUUCUUUUUCUCUCUUUUUUUUUUGCAUUUUCUUUCCCUAUUCUAGAAGCUAGUCAACAUGCCAGCCGAAAUAGACAGAUACGCAAGUAGCACGUAAGAUGCAUCAGGAUGGUCUUUUAAUUUGGUACACCUGUCCUAGACUGACCCAACCCUUGUGUUGAGUCCCCAAAGUCAAAUACAUGUGAUGCAAACAAGCAUUCCUACUAGGGAUCCGACAUGAGACUAUGUUAUUCUAGGUUUAAAACCUGGGUGUAUUGUUCUAGACCUGGCUUACCCGAACGGACAGCUCGAGCCGGGGGGGGGGGCAACAUACUGGGAAUACAGAAGCUUUACCGGCUUUGCAACUUGUCCAAACCUCGUUCUAAAAUUGGGAUAUGACUCUAAUAGAAAAGAAGUCACAUGAAGUGCACACUUUCCAGAUGAUUUAGAAGACUCAGUGAGAAAAGGGUUUUGUAGAAGUUUAUAUACAGUUGACUCAAUAUCAAAGCGGUAAAAAGUGACAUUUAGCACAUCAUGCUCAAUACACGUAAAAAUCAAAUAAUAAACAAAAGUCAACUAUAACAGUUAUUCUAAGUUGGAAUUUUGAACCCUGAACCAAAGAUUAUGGGUUCUUUUCCCCAGCAGAGUCGCCAGAGUUGUCACACCUCCUAUUUACCACCCUAAGGCAGAUAUAAGGGAGUUUUUCCAAUUAAAGUGACAUAAAUCGAAAUGAGAUUAUUUUAUUUAUCUUUCAGAGUCGUCACUUGGAAUAGUUUAUUUGGUGUCCUAAGUCACCGAUUUAUUUUAAAAUCCCAAAAUGAGGAAAGUUCGACUUUAUUUUUGGUCCAGGAACACAGAAGACCAGGUAAGGAAUUGUGUUAACCCGAGAGAAGGUGUUAGGCACUCCCGAGUUCCAUGGUUUUAGCACGGUCGCUUAACUACUAAUAAUUGGCUUAAUUACCUGAUUUAUUACAUGUUUUAAACAUAUUGUGCAUUUUAACUUUAUAACCGCUUUUAUUUAUUAAUGAAAUGGUUUCUAGAACAAGUCACGAUGUCGUGCACUCGUUGUUUUUGGUACACAUUGCAAACCGCGUCACAUGAAAUGCACCCGCGAUUUACAACAUGUUCAUUGCAAACCGCGUCACAUGAAGUUGUGGUCGGCUCACAUGAAAUGCACUCUAGAAUGGGAUUUACGUACCGUGACCAUGCUACGGGAACCAGACCAACGGUCACGAUAAUUUAUUAAUCGCACAAACUACGAUAUUUAAUAUUGAAUAUUGUUGUAAGGCCAUGCUUUAUGCAUAACAUUUUAUUGGGGAGUAAAUAGGAUGGUUAACAGGAUCUAUUUUGUCCCAAAUCAAUAGGAGACUCAACUUAGAGUAAUUAAGUUUAGAGACCAAGCGUACGGGCCAAGUGAGCAUUCUUUAUCAUACUAUCAUUUGCCUAUUCCAAAACUAUACAUAUCUCAAAGAAUUAUUGAGGCCAAAUGAAUAUGAUACAAUAAAAGGUCCAAAACAACAAAUAUCUACAAGAAAAGCUAAGGAAGAAAACUGGCACCACAAAUAAUUAAAGAAAACAUCUAAGACAUAUUUGAUAUGAAAAUAAUUGACAAUGAAAUGGACCUCUCAUGGCUUUAUAUGUAACAAAACAAACAACACACAUUUGGAGGCAUUUAAUGAGCUGAAAGCAUUUGAUAUUGUUUAACAAGCUAACAAAGAGCAAGGAGUGACGAGAAAAUGGGCCUCUGCGAACUUAGAAGUUCUUUUAAAAAAUGAAGCUUGAUAACGGAAAUUCAAACAAUAAACUUGUCGAAGACCUCGACUGACUGAGCUUAACUUAAGAGAACAACAACAGUUAAAGAAGCUGAAGUUGCUAUGUUCUAUAGCGAAAGAGAGCUGGACGAAGAUGGUGAAACUCCGGAGAAAUGCCGGCAAGGCAGUGAACUAGUGGAAAUGCAUUUACAUGUCUUCAGAACUGAUUUUAGGAGUGGGAUGGAGAAGCCACAACUGUUGCAUUUUUUCAGAUCUGCUGCUGCAUUUUCUGCUGUGUUUGGAGAGCUUUGGGAGGUGAUUUUGCUAGGUUUUGGAGCUGUUUCAUGGUUGAUUUUCGUAGCUUUUGGGAUUGAAAUUUGGGCCAUAAUGGGGUGUUUAUGGUUGAUAUUUGAAUGAAGAAGGAGGCUCUAUAUAUUUUUUGUAUCCCCCCGUCUUUUUUCUCUAUCCCCUUUCCAGUUUUUCCCUCUAUUUUUGUGUCUCCCUUUUUCGUUUUUCCCUUUAUUUAUCUUUUUCUGUGUGUAUGUUUUAUAACUAUUUGUGAGUGUGUGUAUUUAUGUAUAUGGAUAAGAAUUAUUCUUGUGAGGAUCAUGCCAAAAGUGAGCUGUGACAGGGCUCAAGAAUCCUAUGUGUAAGUGUGUGAAUUGAUGGUGAGGCACGUGAGAGUGUAUGCAGGUGGUGAGUGUCAAUGUAAUGCAUGUGAAGGAAUAAUAAAAACAGUAGGUCCUCUUGAAAUUCCCUGAAAAGUGCCUAGAGUAUGAGUGAAAUAUGUGAAAAUAAUAGAAAAUCUAGUGAAUUAAAGUGCACGCUGUGUGCAAUUUGUGAUAUAGUGACAUGAGUGAACGUAUGGAUACAGGAGUUUGUUAUUUUGGAUAACAAAGAAUAUUUUCAUGUGCCCGUUCCCUUUAUUUUCCUUGUUGAUUUUUUUAGAGGGUAAUAAAUUAAGUACUAUAAUUAAAUUAAAUUUGUAAGAUAAAGAUAGAUAAGGAUAUUAAUUACCUAAUAUUUAUUGCCUAGAGAAUAUAUAUAUAUAUAUAAAAACUUUUCUAUCUUUUGUAACAACAAACUAAAACUAACAUCUAAAAGCAUGAAUAUUUUUUGUUGAUUUUUACUUUUUAUAAAUAUAACCUAUAAAAGGGUGAAACAAAAGCUAAAAUAUCAAGAUUAAACUUAAAAGAUGUUUGAAUUCUAACAAUGAUGAAUAGAAUUUAAUAUGGUCAAAAAUUAGGUGCUCACACUUAUGACGUGAAGCCAGUGGCCAUUUUGGAGCAUCGGGUUCAAAAGUUGAAAUCAAAGGAUAUAGCUUCAGUAAAAGUGCAGUGGAGAGGUCGGCUCGUGGAAGAGGCUACCUGGGAGACCAAGGGGGAUAUGCGGAGCAGAUAUCCUCACCUAUUUGAGGCUUCGGGUAUGUUUCUUGACUCGUUCGAGGACGAACGUUUGUUUAAGAGGGGGAGGAUGUAACGAUCCGGCCGAUCAUUUCAUGAGUUACCACUCUGUUUCCCCUAUUUCUACUUAUUUAUGUCUUGUUCAGCUGUAUUAUGUGAUAUUCAGGUGGUUGGUUUGGGUUCGGAGUGGUUUUGUUGAGAAAUGAAACACUUAGUCUCUUUUGAGAAAGCUUAAGCUGGAAAAGUCAACUAGAUAUUGACUUAUGUGAAAAAGGUGUUGGAUGUAAAUUUUGAUGGUUCGGAUAGCUUUGUUAGAUGAUUUGGGACUUAGGAGCAUGAUCGGAAUGUAUUUUGGAGGUUCGUGGUAGAUUUAGGCUUGAAUUGGUGAAAUUGAAAAUUUGGCAUUUUUCGGUCGGCAGUGGAAAUUUUGAUAUCGGGGACGGAAUGAAAUUCUGGAAAUUGGAGUAGGUCCGUUGUGUCAUUUCUGAUGUGUGUGCAAAAUUUCAGGUCAUUCGGGUGUUCUAGAAUCCUUAAGCUUGAAUUUAAGGGUGAUUUGAUGUUUUGAUGUUGUUUUGAGUGUUUCGAAGGUUGGAACAAGUUUGAAUGAUAUUAUGGGAUGUGUUGGCAUGUUUGGUUGAGGUCCCGAGGGCCUCAAGUGUGUUUCGGAUGCUCAACGGGUCAUUUUUGGACUCGAGGAGUUAGUAAAUUUUGUUUGUUUUUUGUUGCAGAGAUUUUGUUCAUUACAUUCGCGAAGAGUGUCUUCUGUGGUGGUGGAUUUUGUUCUGUGCGUUCGCGAAGGAGUGGACGCGAAGUUUAAGGCAGCAUGUGCAUCGUGGACGCGUGAGUGGGGUCGCGCUCGAAGAGGAGUGAGGCAGUUGGGGACCCAGGUCUUAGGUCUACGCGUUCUUGAGGUGAAGAAGGAGUGAGUUGGUUAAGCAUCGCGUUCGAAAAGGGUUAAGCGGAGGUAGUCUGAGUUUGGCCUAUGUGAACGCGAUGUCGCUUUCGCGAUGAAGAGAACACCUGAGCAGAAUGUAUAAAAACCCAUCUUCGCGAUUUUUAGCCCAUUUAUCACCAUUUUUGAAUGGCUUUGAAGCUUUUCGAGAGGGAUUGAAGGGGGAAUCUAAGGUAAAUACUUGGAGGUAAGGUUUUUGAACUCAAUACUCGAUUCUAUGGUGAUUUCUAACUAUUUAGACAUGAAUUAGUAGGAUUUAAAGCCUAAAAUUGGGGAAUUAUGGCUUGAAUUUGGAGAGUGUAAUUUGGGGAUUUGAGGUCCGAUUUUGAUGUUCUUGGUAUGUAUGGACUUAUGGGAGGAUAAAGAUUCUAUUGAUAUGAUUUUUAUCAGAUUCUGAGACGUGGGCCCAGGGGUCGGGUUUGGCCAAUUUUGUGAUUUUUGAGUUAAUUUGAUUAUUUUCAAUUGGGCUUUGUUCCUUUAGCGCGUAUUAAUGGUAUGAUACUGAUUUUGGUUAGAUUUGGAGCAUUCGGAGGCCGAGUCGAGUGGUAAAGGCAUCGCGGGCUAGAGUCUGGACCGGAUUGAGGUAUGUAAUGAUUGUAAAUAUUGUUCUGAGGGUAUAAAACCAUGGAUUUCACAUCGUGGUGCUACUUUGAGGUGACACACACGCUAGAUGAUGAGCGUGGGGUCGUGCACCAUUGGGGAUUGUGACUUGGUCCCUCUCGUACGGCUGUUACGUCGCGUAUUUAAUUGAAAACUAUUUGAUAUCAUUGUGUUUUGGAAAGUGUUAUCAUGUUUUGGGCUCAAUGCCAUAUUUGGGCCUCCUGCACCAUAUUUUGGACCCUUAAGGGCUUUUUACUACUAUUCCUCACUGUUUUGACUUAAUAUAUGUACUCAGUUAUGUUGUAUUCAACUAUUUUAAUAACUCCAUCGUAUUUACUACGUUUUGAUAUUUUAAAAGAUAUUUUGGGCUGAGCAUCAUGUUUUACUGUUGCCCGGGUGGCUUGAGAGGUUUCUGACUGAGUAAGGCCGAGGGACUGUGUUGUGAGGAUACUAUGGGAUCGGGUUGCGCGCUGCAAGAUGUUGUACUGAUUUGUAAUAUAUAAGAGGCCGAGGGCCAGAUUUGUUAUGCCAUGAAAUGUCUUGUGAUAUCGCUUGGGCUAUAGGAGCCCCUCUGGAGUCUGAACACCCCCAGUGAGUGCGGGUACCCAGUGUGAGUGAUGUGUUAUUGCCCGAGGGGCUGUUGUUGUUUCUUGUUGUUUCCCGAGGGGCUGAUUACGAGUGAUUGUGAGGUAACCCGAGGGGCUGGUUCGAUUGAUAUUUUGCUCGAGGGACGGUUUAUGGUACAUGUUUUGCCCGAGUGGUUGUUUACAUUUCUAUCCUUUUACUCACUGUUUUCAUCACUCGUUUGAAACUAUUGAAAGAUUUUUUAAAAAGGUUUUAUUGAACUGAGUUGUUUUACGAGUUAAUUGAUUUACUGUAUUGUUCUGGACAUAUAAUGUUUUGCUGUAGUGCUAUGAUAUGGAAUUACCCAUUUUUGUACUGCUCAGCUGCUUUUACUUUUAUUACUUAAUGAGUUGGCGUACUAACAUUACUCCCUGCACCUUGUGUGCAGAUCUAGGAGUCUCGUGACGUGAUAGUGAGUGUUGAUCAAUCUUCCAGCAGGUCUCCGGAAUUGGCUAGGUAGCUGUUUGGUGUUCGCAGACCUGCACUUCUCCUUCUUAUCCUACUCAGAUUAUCUUAGUAUUUUAUUUUCGGGCUUGGUUUGUCACGACCCAAGUUUCCCCUCCAUGAACUAUCGUGACAGUACCUACUCUCUACGACUAGUUAAGCCUAACAAAUGCAGAACAUAAACGAAACUUGCGGAAGAAAUAAUCAAAAACUAAAAUAACUGAAUGGGAACAAUAGUUAUAAUGCCGCUCGGCAUAUACAACACAACAUUCUCAAAGCCAAGCACACUAUCCCAAAACCCAGAAACUCACGGAAACAUAAGCCUUUGGAAUAUCUAACAGUCUAACUCUAGAAUAUCUAACAAGAAAGAAAAAAAUACAAAAGGGCAAUGUUUAACAACUAGAAUAGAAAAGGACUCCUUGAUUUGCGGACGCGGAAGAUGUACCUCGAAGUCUCUAGAGCAGUCGCCUCCUUCAAGGAUGGUAGGCUUGAGUAGUGGUACCUGGAUCUGCACAUGAAAAACAUGUGCAGAAGGGGCAUGCGUACACCACAUCGGUACUCAGUAAGUGCCAAGCCUAACCUCGGUUAGGUAGUGACGAGAAAGGUCAGGGCCCUACUGAGGUUAAAUAAAAUAUAAAGAUCAACAGUAUAGAACAUAACAAUAUAAAUAAGUACAACAGUAAAAUAACAUAAGAUGUACAGGAUAACAACAACUAUACAUAAGCAAGAUAACAUGGAAAGGAAAUACAGCUCAACACCCCUAAUAACAAUCAGGGAUCUCCCAAGAUNNNNNNNNNNNNNNNNNNNNNNNNNCGGAAUCUUGUUCCGUAGUACCAAAUGUGAAUACCCAGUACUGGGGGAAUCUACCGGGUGCAUUCCCUUAGUUCCAUACAACUGUGCAGGGGGGUCUACCAGAAUCCCGCAUCUGUAGUCCCAAAAUUAACAGACAAGGGGGAGGUACCAGAAUCCCAUGUUAAGACAACAUGCUUAAAUGGAGUGAUUCUAGCCUAGCAUGCUGCAGAGAGUUCAGGUAAGGUAGGUUGAGCAAAUAAGGCAAUUAAGUCACUUAGACAUGCUUUCCUAAGCUAACAACAAGCUUAAUAGUGCAAGUAAUAGGAACAAGAAAGGAAACAUACUAGUAAUUACUUAAAGAAAAUCGGAUUUCCAAUAAUUAGCACAAGUACACGCUCGUCACCUCACGUACAAGGCAUUUCAAUUACUAAAUAUACCAAUCCUAAGGGGAAGGUCCCCCACACAAGUUUAGACAAGCCACUUAGCUCGAACCGACUAAAUAAUCAAUCUGAAACCACGCUCUUGCCACUAGUACUCGACUCCAAAUGACCCAAAUUUAUUCAAUUCAAUUUCAUAAUGUGAAUAGCACUUCAAGUAACUGAUUCUACAAUUAAAUUCUAAGCUAAUACGUGAAAUUAGGUAAAAUGACCAAAACGCUCCUCGGGCCCACAUCUUUGAAU